ensembl:processed_transcript
GGACGUUGACUGGUCAGUGUGCUGGUCCUUUGAAUGCUCCUGAGCGCCGGGCUCUCCCCACGCCUGCGCAGUGGGACGGGCGAGUUUGGCGCGGCUUGUGUGUGAGGCGCGGGUAGGUGGCGGCGUGGCCCGGAUUCCCUCAGGUGUUCCGAGGCAGCAUGGGCGGCGAUGCUCAGGUGGUCUGGGCGUCUCUCGGUGCUUUCCCCCGCGCCGCGUGGUCCUGCUGAAGAACGCCGGAAGGCCUAGGGUUCCCUCGGGCUGAUGAGCGGGCCUCGGCCUGUUCUCCGCGGAGUCGCGAACGGCCUCUUGGCUAUGGUGGUCUGAUGCGAGUCCCCGCUUUCCUGAGAGCUCCUAAUAAAAGCAGUUGUGCGUGUGUGUGUGUACGAGCAGUGCACAAGCGAUCCAUGUAAUGUCGGUGACCUCUCGCGGUAGGUAUAACUCCAGGUUCAGAGAGGUGACUUCCUGGUGUGGUGGGGAGAAGUACUCGGCCCGCCUGUGACCACGCUCACAGGUUCCCUCCACGGCGGGGGGAACGAGAGAGUUGUCUGGCGUUGCUUUAAAUGGAUUGCAACCAACUGGUUCCAAGCAUAGCACACAGGCGCCCUUCAUCAGCUAACAACAUCCACUAGAAAUGACCUGUGGAGUUUUCGUCCGGAGUUGAGAUAGGACCUCAUUCUUUACUGUCCUAGAGCACACAUGUAGACCAUGUUAGCCUCGACCUGUGUCGGCACGCCUGGCCCGACCUAGGAGAUGUUAUUUUAUGAGACAGGUUUUCUCUGUGUAUUCCUGGCUGCCCUGGGACUCACGCUGUAGUCCAGGCUGGCCUUGAACUCAGAGAUCCCCCUGCCUCCCUAGUGCUGUGAUUAAAGUCAUAUGCCAUCAUACCUGACUUCAACCUCGGGAGAUUUUAAUGCGAGUGGGAUGUGUUGAGUCCCCAAGUUUUUUUUAUCUGAACUCGGGCCUUUGGAGAUAAGUAGAAAUAGUCACUGUGUGAUGCUUACUUACUAAGGCCUUCCCAACGCGGUGGAGGGCAGCCACAGCUACACACCAGUGCGCUCAUGUCAGGGCAGGAGAUGGCGAACCCGAGUUGUGGUGUGGGGGCAUUGUCUUUAUAGCGAGACCGGUCACACCUUGUACUGUAUAUUAUGGAACCAAGGGAGACUCUUGGGUAGAGAGGUAGGAAGGGUGGUGUGAGGAAGACUCUAGAUAUUUCCAAGCAGAGCAAGCUAAAGGCAUUCGGGAGGAGACAAGAAGAUGAGCUGUGAAUGUGAAAUGACUUGGGUGACAUGGCUUCCUUUGUCAAUCCAACCUAUCUGUAUGGGCUAUCCUCAGCCCUCUGGUGUACAGUGCCACUAAGAGACCUCUGCUUGCACCCAAGGUUAGUUACACUCUCAGAUAUCAGUUGCCUAGUACUUUUCUUGGCCAUUUAUUGUUCAUUUGCCCCUUCCCCAGACAGCACAGACUGUUGUCUGCUUUAUUCUUGGUACCUAAAGCAUUGCCUGGCAUAUGAUAGUGUUGGAAAUUACUUGCUAACUGGAGUGAACAGAAGUUUGAGUGCACCAGCAGCAGGGACAGCUAGCAGGAUUUGGUGUUUCUGUGGAAUCAACACCUAAUCCAUGUGUGAUGCUUAUACAAAUUAUAAUUGAAUAUAACCAUAUCAUAUUGGAUCCCCAAUAUCCCUGUAGAAAGCAUGGGGUGGCAGCAUAUAACUAACAACUCCAGCACUGGGGGUUACAGGGAGCAAGGACAGGAGGAUCCCUGGCAUCUGCUAACCAGCCUGUCUAGCCAUGAAAGGUGAGCCUGCUCAAAAAAUAAGAUAGAGGUGGUGUGAGGAUGUUAGUGCCUGUCUGGUAUGCACAAAACCAAGAUCAAUAACUGUCCAGUUAUUAUACAAAUAGAGCCAAGUACCAGGUUCUAUUUCAGCUCUUUAGAAAUUUUAAAUUAAUAAAUGUAUUCAAAAUAGACUAAAAGCAUCGCUGCUCACAGACAUGAGGGCAAAGAGCAGCAGUUCUCAACGUGUGGGUCUCAACCCCUUUGAGGUCAAUACCUUUUUAUAGGGGUCAUAUAUCAGAUAUCCUGCAUACAUUGCAAUUCACAGCAGCAAAAUUAGUUAUAAAGUAGCAAUAAAACAUUUUAUGAUUGGGGGUCACCACAACAUGAGAAACUGUAUUAAAGGGUCACAGUCUUAUGAAGGCUGAGAACCACUGGCAUUGAGUUAACUUGGCCAGUUACAGAGCUAAUAGGAGAUUGGAUGUGUAUGUAUGUGGGGGGAGGUAUGCCUGAGUUCAAAUGUAGAGGCAACAGGUUAAUCUGGGGUGUCUUUUUCUAUCACUACCUUUUUUUUUUUAACAAACAAUCUCAUGUAUCCCAGAGGUUCUUGAACUUCUGAUUCUUUUGCCUCUCCCAAGUGCUUGUAUUUCAAGCGUGUGCUACUACUUAUGGUUUAUGUUGCUCCGGAGAUUAAUCUUGACUUUGUGCAUGCCAGGCAGGCACUAACCAACUUCCCCAGCCCUUCUCUACCUUAUGUUUUGAGCAGGAUCUCUUACUGAAUCUCACCUUUUAUGGUUAGAUAGGCUGGGAAGCAUUUGCCAGAGAUCUUCCUGUUUCUGCCCCACCCCCCAACCCUACCCCAAGUACUGGGGUUACAGUUUUUGUGCUGCCCACCUCAUGCUCUUUACAGGGAUAUCAGGGAUCUGAACUUGAGUCCUCAUACUUUCAAUUGUAAGCACUUUAACUGCAGAGUCAUCUGGCAAAGAAUAACAAAAUCUCUAAGUCAGUUCCCCACGUUAAAGGUCCUACUGUUUAUUUAAAUGUGCUUCUCUCUUAGUUGUAGCAUCUGAUAACACAACUCAGCCAUUUUUUUUUUCUUUCUGACAUGGUCUUGUUAGGUAGCCCAGGUUGGCCUGGUCUACUGAUGGUUUUCUCUGUCAACUUGACAGAAGCUAGAGUCAUCAGAGAGAAAGGAUCCUCCACUGAGGAAAUGCCUCCCUGAGAUCCAGCUGUAAAGAAUUUCCUCAAUUAGUGAUCAGUGUGGGUUGUGCCAUCCCUGGGCAGGGUUCUAUAAUUAAGGCACCUGGAAAUUGUGUUUCUGCCUCUGCCUUCUGACCAUUGGAAUUCAGGUGUGUUUCUCUGCACCUGGAUUUCAGCAAGUACUAAUUGAAAAAAUCAGUUAUAAAUAUACCACAUAAGGU